rnacentral:lncRNA from 1 species
GUCCAAUCAGAACUACAGCUGCUGGCCUACGCUACAGCCAAUGCCAGAUCCAAGCCACAUCUGCAACCAACACCACAGCUCACGGCAAUGCCGGAUCCUUAACCCACUAAGUGAGGCCAGAGAUUGAACCUACAACCUCAUGUUUCCUAGUCAGAUUCAUUUCUGCUGUGCCAUGGUGGGAACUCUUUUUCUUUUUUUUUAAAUUUUUUUGAGAGUCAUUUUUCUUGGGAGAAUAGGGAAGGCUUCCUGGAGGAGGUGGCAUCCGGGUUUUCCAGAUGAAAAUCUGGGAAAUAACUUCAAGCAGUGUGAGCAAAGCCAUAGAGAGGGCAGUAGAUCCCUGUGGCUGCAUUGUAGGGGGCAUGGGCAUUGCAUAAGGGGUAAUGUGCAAGAGAGGUAAAAUAUCAAUCAGGACAAUAGACCAGAUCAAACACGAAAGGCCUUGAAUGCCAUGAUAAGUGGUGUCAGCCGCAUUCUGUGAAUGGGGGGCAGGGAUCCCACAUGAGAACAAUAGAAUCCUGAUCAAAUGUUUUUGAAAGACUGAAGAAGGGCAAGAGUGGAGGCAGCGUGAUCCAGUGGAGCUGCUUACAAUUUUUUAGGAGACAAAGGAGGAGGCCUGGGGGCCUGAGGUCGUUGAGGAUGGAGAGAAGGGAGUCCCAGUGCUAUUGGGGAGGUAGACGCCACAGAUCCUGCAGGCUGAGGGCAUGUGGGAAGUGUAGUGAAUCUCAGGCACCAACUCUGGCAACUGCAUAGACGGUGGUGGCAUCUUUCUUGAGGUGGGAAACCCAGAAGGCAACGUUGGGAGUAAGGCGAGGAUGGUGUUUUGGGUCUGUUUUUUUUUUGGUCUUUUUAGGGCUGCACUUGCCGCAUAUGGAGGUUCCCAGGCUAGGGAUCCAACUGGAGCUGCAGCUGCUGGCCUACACCACAGCUACAGCAAUGCAGCAUCUGAGCAGGGUCUGCAACCUACCCCACAGCUCAUGGCAACACCGGAUCCCUAACCCACAGAACGAGGCUGGGGAUCGAACCUGCAUCCUUGUAGAUACUAGUCAGAUUCAUUUCCACUGAGCCACGAUAGGAACUCCGGGCCCGUGUUGAAUUUUAGGUGCCGAAGAGGGGCUACUAGGAGGCAGGUGGGGGAUAAAUCAGGGGCUCAGAUGGAGACUGGUGAUGUUGCAUUGGGCCUCAUCAGCCUAGGGUUGGUGUUUAAAGGCUUUGGAGCAGGAGACACGCAUCAGGGAGCGUGUCUUGAGAGAAGGAAACUGAAGACACCACCAAGGGGAGCCCCUACCUUUUAUGGAAGGCAAAGGAAGGCCCUGGAAAGGCAAAAGGAGUAAAGCCAAUGAAGAAGAUAGACAGGGACAGCCUGGAGAUCAGGAGGGUCCCUCUCCUUGCAGAGGGACCCUCGAAAAGGAGAGAGGUGCCAAUUUGCCUUACCACACCAAUAGGUCCAGACCAUGAACCACUGAGACAUGACAUGUCCCUUAAAUUUAGCAGCAAAGUGGUCAGAGCAGAAUAGUUUCCACGGGAUGGGGAGAGUGGAAUCUGGACGGUAAGGAGUUGAGGGAAUGGGGAGUGAGGGAGUGCAGGACAAUUACUGGAGAUGGCGCUUCUGCGGAGCUGGGCUAGAAAGAGAAGGAAAGAGAUGGGGCAUUGACGGUGCAUCCGGGAGGUUCAGGGAGGGUCUGAAGCUGAGAUGGUGGUCCCAAGCCUCCUUCCCCCAACUUCCGGCUAGGGAGCAAGGGCAGAGUCUGCUUUGGGAUCUUUCUCUUCUGGGCCAGGCUUCCCAUGGAGAACACAGCCUGGGUCAAGUGUCUGUUCUCCUCCACUUCCUGUGUGCAGGUGUCUGCGCGCGCCCAGGUGUGCAGGCAGCUGGAAACAGGAGUCACGAGAUAGAGUCCUGGCUCCUGUGCUGUCCGGAGCCAGCCCUGGGGUCACCCCCAGGUGCCUAAGGGGGCGAGCCUGCAUCUCAUUCUCCGAGAUGCGGGUGAGAAGUAGGAGGCAGGCUGUGGACCAUCAGGAUCUGUCAGCGAGCUCGGCAAGUCUGCCCACCAUCUGGGCCCUAUCAGACGAGCGGGGCUUUUCCUACAUUAAUCUCUGAUCAGCUUGGCCCGGCUUUCAUUUCAAAAGGCUCCAUGUCUUUUCCCUCUUCCUCACAGCCCCUUCUUUACACCCCCUCCCCAAUACAGGACGAAAAAUUAUGUCUUUUCCUUUCCUUGGUUUCCAGGCCCAGCCGGGGCUGGAGAAAGCUUUGAAAUUGGAGCAAGGCUUGGGAUGGGAGGGAGAGGAUGCUGAGGUAGCCGCAGGGGAGGUGCUGGGGGAGGAAAGGGCCACAGAGCUCCCUACUAGUGAUGAGGAGAGAACAGCGAUCUCUUGGGUGACUGCCUCUGGCCCCCGGGGCAUCUUCCCAUCUCCCAAGUGUCCAUCUAUCACCUCAGUCUUUCCUCUUCUCAUCCCAUGACCUUGGAAUUUCCUGGCACUUCUAGCCUUCCCUUGGGGACCUCUAGAGACUAGGGACAAUUCUCUUGGUGCAUUGGGGUGUGAGUCCCAGGAAAGGCUGCCCUGUUAUGAGCUGCCCGAAAUCAGGGGCUUCCAGGGCCAUGCACCAGGCCCUUUGGGAACCUGAUCUUCUAUCUGCCCCCUUCCAUGUUUGUCCUAAGGCAGAGACCAACACUGAAUGGCUGAAUGCCAAGUGCAAAAUGGGGCAUUGGGCUAACCAGGACAGAUAGAGUUUAAUGCAUCUCCAAGCCCAGGAAUCCUGGAAUGUCAGUGCUAGGAGACACCUUGAGACACAGAGUCCAGCCCAAUUAUUGUCCAUAGAGGAAUACAGGGGCCCAAGAGAGCAGAGCAAUCACACAGGAGCCCAAGAGAGCAGAGCAAUCACACAGGGCCAGGCAGAGAGGCUCUCACUUGUGGGUCUGGCUAGUGUGUGGUCCUGCAACAGGCAUCAGAGAUGCUUUACUGUCAUAUGUCAAGGGCUGACUUGGCUUCAUAGUCAGUGGGGGCCAUGGUUGUCCUGAAGAUGUCUAUGACAGCUCUGGGUUCCACAGAUUGGAGAUAAAAGAGUGGGCAGGAGACAAAGUCAAGGACCAGUUUGUAAGAGGGGGAGUGAGGGGAAAUGAAAGGUUAAGGAUGAAAUGCAAGGUUAAUGGGACCCCAUUCUUUUUAAAUUUUUUCUCGAAGUAUAGUAGAUCUACAAUGUUGUGUUCACUUCUGGCAUAUAGUGAUUCAGAUAUAUAUAUUCUUUUUCAUAUUCUUUUCCACCAUGGUUUAUUAAAGGAUAUUGACUAUAGCUCCCUGUGCUGUAUAAUGAAACCUUGGUGUAUAUCAAUUUUAUAUAUAGUAGUUUGUGUCUGCUAAUCCCAAACUCCUAAAUUAUCCCUCCCCCCAACCUUUUCUCUUUGGUAGCCAUAAAUUUGUCUUCUACCUCUGAGAGUCUGUUUCUGUUUUGUUAAGUUCAUUUGUGUCAUAUUUUAGAUUCCACAUAUAAGUGAUAUCAUAUAGUAUUUGUCUUUCUUUUUCUGACUCACCUCACUUAGUAUGAUAAUCUCUAGGUCCAUCCAUGCUGCUGCAAAUGGCAUUAUUUCAUUCUUAUUUAUAGCUGAGUAAUAUUCCAUUGUAUAUAUGUACCACAUCUUUAUCCAUUCAUCUGUCAGUGGAUAUUUAGGCUGCUUCCAUGUCUUGGCUAUUGCAAGUACUGCUGUAAUGAACACUGGGGUGCAUGCAUCUUUUCAAAUUAGAGUUUUCUCCAGAUCUAUGCCCAGGCCUGGGAUACUGGAUCAUAUGGCAACUCUAUCUUUAGUUUUUUAAGGAACCUCCAUACUGUUUUCCAUAGUGGCUACACCAAUUUACAUGAAUAGGAACCCAUUCUAAACCCUAAUUAGGUUUUUGCCUGUGUGAGUCUGUCCCUCUCUGCAUGAAGUAGGGAUUCACUCAGUAACGGAAAACUGAUUAUAUGGGUCCAAGAUGGAUCUGGCUACAGGAAAACCCAGCUCAAACUGUGUUAGACAAUAAGAGCAUCCAGUAACUCAUGUAACAGGAAGUUCAGGGAUUAAGUGGGCUUCAGGAUUGAAGCUGAUUCAGCAGCUCAACCAUGUCAUCAAGGAUUCAGUUCUGUCUGUUUCUCAGCUUUGCCUUAUUCCAUGUCAUUAGAUGAAGGCCUCCUACUCAUGAGGAAGCUACCAGUAGAAAGGGGAAAUUUUUUCUCCCUUUAUUCAAAGUAAUGGGAAAGAGGAAAAUAAUCUCUCCUCAGCAUGAAAUGUAAGUCUUUUUCUUAAGUUGAAUUGUGGGUCACAUAAACAUGCCUGGACCAACAGAAAUUCCCAAGAACCUGUGUAAAUAAUCCUAUAUAAUACAUUAAAAUAGAUUAAAACAAAACAAAACAAAACACUGAGGAGUUCAUGUCAUGGCGCAGUGGAAAUGAAUCUGACUAGGAACCAUGAGGUUGCAGGUUCGACCCCUGGCCUCACUCAGUGGGUUAAGGAUCCGGUGUUGCUGUGAGCUGUGGUGUAGUUCGAAGAUGCGGCUCGGAUCUAGCAUGGCUGUGGCUCUGGCAUAGGCUGGUGGCUACAGUUCUGAUUGGACCCCUAGCCUGGGAACCUCCAUAAGCCACGGGUGCAGCCCUAAAAAGACAAAACAAACAAACAAACAAAAAAACAUUGAAAUUUUAUUUGGAAAUAAAAACCUGAUUGGUGUGGGGAAAUCAUGGAAAGCUUGACAGAUCUACUUAAGAGAGAAUCAGUGAACUAAAAAAUAGUGCCAAGGAAUUCUUUCAAAAUACAGAGCGAUAAGACAAAGAGGUGAAAAGCAUAAGAUAUGUGUUUAAAUGUUGAGCGACUCGGAGUUCCCGUUGUGGUGCAAGGGAAAUAAAUCCGACUAGGAACAAUGAGGUUGCAGGUUCAAUCCCUGGCCUCGCUCAGUGGGUUAAGGAUCUGGUGUUGCUGUGAGCUGUGGUAUAGUUCACAGACGUGACUCGGAUCUGGCGUUGCUGUGGCUGUGGUGUAGGCCUGUGGCUCCAAUUCGACCCCUAGCCUGGGAACCUCCUUAUGUCACCAGUGCAGCCCUAAAA